rnacentral:tRNA from 1 species
GCCAGCGUAGCUCAGUUGGUAGAGCAGCUGAUUUGUAAUCAGCAGGUCGGGGGUUCAAGUCCCUUCGCUGGCUCCA